GGUUUGGUAGUUCAGUUGGUUAGAAUACCUGCCUGUCACGCAGGGGGUCGCGGGUUCGAGUCCCGUCCAGACCGCAA
rnacentral:tRNA from 20 species